ACUGCUCAGUAACACGUAGCUAAUCUGCCCUAUGGUCAAGGAUACCCUCGGGAAACUGAGGCUAAUACUUGAUAGGAGAUUUACCCUGGAAAGAUUUAUCUCUGAAACUCGUGCCAUAGGAUGAGGCUGCGCCGGAUUAGGUAGUUGGCGGGGUAAAUGCCCACCAAGCCAUUGAUCUGUAAGGGCUCUUAGCGGAGAGGCCCUGAGAGGGAAUCUGAGACACUAUUCCCAGCCCCACGGGGUGCAGCAGUUAGGAAUAUUUUGCAAUGCGCGCAAGCGUGACAAAGCGAAUCAGAGUGCUUUUCAAUUUUGAAAAGCUUUUAUGCACUGUAAAAAAGUGCAGGAAUAAGGACUGGGUAAGACGAGUGCCAGCCGCCGCGGUAAUACUCGCGGUCCAAGUCGCAGCCACUUUUAUUGGGUCUAAAACAUCCGUAGCUUGCUUAAUAAGUUUCUUGUGAAAUUCUGUCUCUUAAGGGCAGAGCGGGCAGGAAGUACUGUUAAGCUAGAGACUGGAAGACGUGAGAAGUAUGUUCGAAGUAGCGGUAAAAUGUGUUAAUCUUGAACAGACUCACAAGAGCGAAGGCAUCUCACGAGGACAGUUCUGACAGUAAGGGAUGAAAGCUAGGGGCGCAAAAGGGAUUAGAUACCCCUGUAGUCCUAGCAGUAAACACUGCACACUAAACAUUAGUACCUCCUCGAGAGGUAUUAGUGCUGAAGGGAAGCCGAAGAGUGUGCUACCUGGGGAGUAUAGUCGCAAGGCCGAAACUUAAAGGAAUUGGCGGGGGAGCAC
rnacentral:rRNA from 1 species